rnacentral:lncRNA from 1 species
UUUAAAGAAGUCAUUGUAUUGCUUUCUUACUCAUGGACUUUGGACAAGAAAGUUUUAAAGAAGGUUUUUAGCCCUGGAGGAUAAAUGUCUGGAGUGUGUGUUGCAACUUGCUGAGGAGUUACGAUGCUGAUACAUUGAUGCUGUUGACCUGCCACCAACAGGAUAUGACCUUUGAGACAUUGAUUUCCCAAAGAAGCAUCUAUGUAACUUGUUCCCUUGACAUCGAUUUCUGAAUUGUCUCCUUGAAAAAAUGGAAGUCACCUACAAAAGAGUUGCAGGAAAAGUAGAAGACAUUGCUCCAUGAAGGAAGCAUGAAUGGUUACUUCAAAAGUUGGGAUAUAUGUGAGCAAGACUGUGGAUAGACAGAGACACUUCACAUUCUCUUGCAAAACUAUGUGUAUACAUCCCCCUGAGAAAUACGACUUUUCAUUUAGAUCAAUGUUCAUGUUGGGGGAGAGAGAGGAGACCUUUAUUUCUUCAAGGAAACACGAACUGGGUUAACCAUGGCUGCCUCUGGGUAGUGGGAUGGAGGAGUCUGAAAGGACGGGAUGCUCUGCUGCUCUGGACCACACUCAGGCGGUUCAUGUUUAAGAAGCUUGAGAAAAGCUUUAGGAGAGAUGCCUUCCCAGACUUGUGCUGUGCGGGGGGACGGAGGAAAGGAGGUGUGCCCGCUGAUCAUCUUUGGUGCCUUUCAAUGUUCUGCUGCAAAUGUCUUCAACAGCCAAAUCUCCUGACAGAAAGCAUCACCACGUGAAGAAUGCACCUGGGACACCUUCUCUAACCCUCCCCAGCCUCUCCGCCACCACACCUGACGCACCCUCUGCAAUACAGCACAUCAUGUACUGAACCGCUGCAGGCCACACUGAAGAACUGCCCUCUGGUUGUCACAUUGCUCCCCGGGGUGCAUUCUUCGUCCCCAAAUCUCUGAAGAGCACAGCUCUGUACCCUGAAGGCUGGCAGGACUUACUUAGGAAAACUGUCGCUUUGAGGCCCACACAGCCUAGAAAAACACGAUGAACUUGGUAACCAGAUGAUCCCAUUUAACAUAUGAUUCUACAGCAGAACCUCCGACUAUGAACAUCCUAUUGCGAAUAUCCUAUACAGAAUCAGGCAUAAGGGUCAGCUUUGGAAAGACUCGGCUUUGACCUGCUUACGUACCACUCACUCCCUCGGUUCCCCGAAACACCUCUCCCAGAAGCUCCAGAUCAGUUGCUGGGUGUUAAAUGAGAUCCAGAACAUCAGGCCCAGAGCACAGUGACUGCCUGAGCAGGACCAAGUGACUGAGAAAAGAAGCAAAGUGCAACUCUAUUUGAAAAAAUGGAAGCCAGUGUUCUGUGAUGGCAGAAAAAUUAAUAAAACUGGCCCCCCCCAGUAAUCCAGAAGAUGGAAAGAGCACAGCGAAACUUGCAGCCUUGGCUAAAGAGGUUCCACGAAUGUUGAAAGUGCCAGCCGUCUUCUUUGUAACUGUGUAUAAGGUCAGAUAUUUUGAUCGAAAGUGAAAGCAUAUCUGACUUACUCUGCCCUGCUUUUAGCAUCAUGUAGAGUUCCAUGGAAACAAAAGAAGAAAAAGCAUGAAAACAACUGAAGCUAAGGAGUCAGAACGAAGGUCGAUGUCGUCAUUUAAAUACAACAACAAAAAAGACCCUCACAAAUCAAGCCUGGAGAGAGAUUACUGGAGAUUGACAGGAUGAGAAACUACUGGUAUGUGAGACAAGCUCCUGGGGAGAGUUUCUGAUGCCAGGAUGCUCUGGAGCACCUCCCAGUGUGGCGUGACGAUCAGGUAAGCAAAGAUAAACGUAGGAAGAUUAUGAUACCCAGAGGAACCCUGGGAUGCAGCCCUGAGAUGCAGUGGGUGUUGAAGAUGCGUUCUAAAGACUCAGGAGGCAUUUUCUGGAAGGAGACUAACUGGAGGACAUGUAUAAGAAUGGUCUGACUGGUCCAGUGAACUGUAUGUGCAAAGAACAACCAGGAAGACGGUAUGAACUUCACGGCACUGCACAUAGUUCGGUAUUGCUGAAAGGAAGAAGGCAACUAUGACUCAGACUGGUAAGAAAGGAGGAAAGAAAUGUGAACCCUAAUGUCAUGAAGUUUCCGGUCCAGUGACGGAUACAGGUCAACAGACAGCUGCGAUUUUAACGGGGAACAUUGAGCUGCUGCAUCGUAUGACUUGGUCCAGAGCAAUGCUGCCCCACGGAAAGAGGAUGCAAGCCACAGAUGUGAGGGACACGUGUGAUUUAAAAUUUUCUGGCAUCCACAUUUCAAAAGAAAAAAAAAAGAGGAGAAAAUGGAGGCAGCGAGGUUAAGGAACUUGUUUGCGGUCACUCAGCUUGACAGUUGGAGCUGGGAUAUCAAACCCAGGCAGCAUGUCCCCUUGUGGCUCAGCGGGCCACACCCAUGGCAUGUGGCACUCCUGCAUGAUUUUAAAAAUGAAGAAUCCUUGUAUCGGAACGACUUACAAGAUGGAAUAAAACCUCAGGCAUAAGCCUUGAGCACGACGAACCCAUAGGCACCCAACUGCUGGUGGAAACUGAAGGGGUCCUCGUCCUGCCUGCCCUCUGAGUUCUCAGAAAAGAGAAACGCAGGAGAUCCUCGUUCUUUCCUUAUGCUCUUGUUAUCAGUGAAGAAACUUCAAGCCGCCCGGUGCAGAAAACCUAGCCAAUGGACAGAGGGUCGAAUCGAACAGAUGUUUUAUAAGUGGCAUCCAGUGAGACGGUGGAGAAUAUGUGCGAGCAGAAAAGACACACGCAACAGGUCUUCUCCACCGCUUGUAGCCUCCUUCAUGUGUCACACUUGUGACCCAUGGUGUACAAAAUUCAGAGACAAGGAGAGCACAAGGAUAAUCAGCUAACACUUGUGCCAUCUGGAAUCCUAAAUCAGCGAUCCAGCUGUGGUGUGCCGUCUCCCUUUGCUUUUCAAUCCUUGAGUCAUCGUUGUGCAAGAUGGCAGUCACUGCUUCUCAGUGGUAAUCAAGCCUUGGAGUGGUUACACCCCGAACAAAAUAUCGGGUCCUUGGCCAAAUUUUUAUCAGGAGGCGUUGCAGAAACUCAUUAACUCAUUUGAGUCAAAGAUCCAGAUGGGGAAACCGAGGCACAGAGAGGUGAAUUUCUUUUUUCAAGAUGAUGAUGGUGUAAGUACUGGUUAUAGAUUGGACUUGAACCGAGAAUCCAUGCAUUUAACCAUAAUCUCUCUGAUCCAGUUCCCUUAUCUCUUUAAAAACGGAUGUUGGCGUUCCUGUCCUGGCUUAGUGGUAACAAACCCGACUAGUAUCCAUGAGGACAUGGGUUCAAUCCCUGGCCUCGCUCAGUGGGUUAAGGAUCUUCUGGCGUUGCCACGAGCUGUGGUGUAGGUCACAGAUGCGGCUGGGAUCUGGCGUUGCUAUGGCUGUGGUGCAGGCCAGCAGCUGCAGCUCUGAUUCCACCCCCAGCCUGGGAACUUCCAUAUGCCGCAGGUGCGGCCCUAUAAAAAGGGGGGGGGCAAAAAAAAGAAAAAUGGAAAGGUAACUGCAGAUCUCAAAAAUUCUGAGCCAUCUGGAAGGUAGUAAUUCAGUUGCAAGCUAGGACCUGUCGACCCGUCUCCCAAUUGUAUUCUGGUGUAAUUUCCCUAAGAAAUAAGACAAAGAUAAACAAAGCGCAGACUAAAGCCCUGGACAAACCUAGAUGGUGGGUUUGAGAAAGAAGCUAGAAUGUUGCACUAGUGCUUUGUGAUAAUGAAGAGUCCAAGCCACAGCGACUAAUCAGCAGGUAAGGACCUGUUUCAAAAUCGUCAUGUCAGGUCCUUACCUGCUGAGGAGUCAGAUCCAUAAAGGCUCUAGAAAGAGCCUGUCCCGGGAGUUCUAAGGAGGAGGUCAGCUUUGCUGCUAACGCUUUGGUCCACAACCCCUUCACCUGUACUCAGCCUCGUCUUUCUUGCCCGUGCCCCCUCUCCUACCGCCCCCACCCCCGCCCCCAGACAGGCCUUCUGCUGCUGAAGAAAAGAAUCUGAAAGUAGAGCCACAGUCCACAAAGCUGACAGGGACAAGCAGGUGAUGGCAAUCCUAAGGUCCCCGUAGAAACAGCCGCCCACCCCCUCCGCCGUCAAACAGCCCACUUCCCUUGGUGUUAUUUGCAGACCCGAGCAAAGCCUUCUUGGCCUCCUAGCCUUUGGGGGUCACGAGCAGACUUGCCAAAUCAAGCUUUAGGCUCCAAGUUCGCAGCGAUUUUCCCACACCCACCGGAAGAGCUGCACUGGCUGUGGGGCCCAAAGCCAAUGGCAGAGAGGAUGGAGCCACCUGUAACGGGGGAGGCGUAGAUGGGUUAUCUGGGUCUCACCAGACCCUGAUCUGAAACAAGAGGAGCCAAGGCCAGCACUCCAGCUCUGAUAGGGGAAGGGGCGCUGGAGGCCAAGGAGAUGGGGUGAAAAGACUCACCUUCCUUACCUGAGAAAUCAGGGACCAGCUAUCAUAGGGAAAUCGCCC